ACGGAUUUCUUCGGAUUGAAGUCUGGGCGACUGAGCGGCGGACGGGUGAGUAACGCGUGGGUAACCUGCCUCAUACAGGGGGAUAACAGUUAGAAAUGACUGCUAAUACCGCAUAAGCGCACGAAGGCGCAUGCCUUUGUGUGAAAAACUCCGGUGGUAUGAGAUGGACCCGCGUUAGAUUAGCCAGUUGGCAGGGUAACGGCCUACCAAAGCGACGAUCUAUAGCCGGCCUGAGAGGGCGACCGGCCACAUUGGGACUGAGACACGGCCCAAACUCC
rnacentral:rRNA from 2 species